rnacentral:rRNA from 1 species
UACAGAGGUCUCAAGCGUUGUUCGGAUUCAUUGGGCGUAAAGGGUGCGUAGGCGGCGCGGUAAGUCGGGUGUGAAAUCUUGGAGCUUAACUCCGAAACUGCAUUCGAUACUGCCGUGCUUGAGGACUGGAGAGGAGACUGGAAUUUACGGUGUAGCGGUGAAAUGCGUAGAUAUCGUAAGGAAGACCAGUGGCGAAGGCGGGUCUCUGGACAGUACCUGACGCUGAGGCACGAAGGCCAGGGGAGCAAACGGG